rnacentral:rRNA from 1 species
UGAGGAAUAUUGGGCAAUGCCCGCAAGGGUGACCCAGCAACGCCGCGUGGAGGAUGAAUGUCGUAAGAUUGUAAACUCCUGUUAGAGGGGAAGAAUAGUACCGGUUGGACCGGUAUAUGACUGUACCCUCAGAGAAAGCCCCGGCUAACUACGUGCCAGCAGCCGCGGCAAUACGUAGGGGGCAAGCGUUGUCCGGAUUUACUGGGUGUAAAGGGCGCGCAGGCGGGAUAAAAAGUCAGUGGUGGAAUCCUACAGCUUAACUGUAGAACUGCCUUUGAUACUUUUAUUCUUGAGUUCGGGAGAGAGAGACGGAAUUCCAGGUGUAGUGGUGAAAUACGUAGAUAUCUGGAAGAACACCAGUUGCGAAGGCGGUCUCUUGGUCCGACACUGACGCUGAGGCGCGAAAGCGUGGGGAGCAAACA